rnacentral:rRNA from 1 species
UAUUGGGCAAUGGGCGCAAGCCUGACCCAGCAACGCCGCGUGAAGGAAGAAGGCCCUCGGGUUGUAAACUUCUUUUAUCAGGGACGAAACAAAUGACGGUACCUGAUGAAUAAGCCACGGCUAACUACGUGCCAGCAGCCGCGGUAAUACGUAGGUGGCAAGCGUUAUCCGGAUUUACUGGGUGUGAAGGGCGUGUAGGCGGGUCUGCAAGUCAGAUGUGAAAUCUCAUGGCUCAACCAUGGAACUGCAUUUGAAACUGUAGAUCUUGAGUGAUGGAGAGGCAGGCGGAAUUCCGUGUGUAGCGGUGAAAUGCGUAGAUAUACGGAGGAACACCAGUGGCGAAGGCGGCCUGCUGGACAUUAACUGACGCUGAGGCGCGAAAGCGUGGGGAGCAAACAGG